rnacentral:tRNA from 1 species
AAGAAUUUAAGUUAAUUAAACUCUUGACCUUCAAAGUCAAACAUAAAGGGGAUACCUUUAAUUCUUA